CCUACGGGAGGCAGCAGUGGGGAAUAUUGCACAAUGGGGGAAACCCUGAUGCAGCGACGCCGCGUGAGCGAGGAAGUAUUUCGGUAUGUAAAGCUCUAUCAGCAGGGACGAAAAAAGACGGUACCUGACUAAGAAGCCCCGGCUAACUACGUGCCAGCAGCCGCGGUAAUACGUAGGGGGCAAGCGUUAUCCGGAUUUACUGGGUGUAAAGGGAGCGUAGACGGCAAGGCAAGCCAGAAGUGAAAGGGCAGGGCUCAACCCUGUACAUGCUUUUGGAACUGUGGUGCUAGAGUGCAGGAGAGGUA
rnacentral:rRNA from 1 species